rnacentral:misc_RNA from 1 species
GUGUACAUUAUAAGACAAAAAAAUAUGAAAUAAUCGUUUACGCCGUAUUACUUUUUGGUUUAUGCGAACACAUUCUGUCAGUUUUAUUUCAUGAAAAAACCGUUGAAAUAUGUGACCACAAAAAUAACAUUGAUCUAGACUCAGUGAGACUAUACUUUGAGAGAUUAUUUGUUUCUAAAACAAUACCUUAUGCUCCAUGGAAAAUGAUAUUUUAUGAGGUAUAAAUAUUUAAAAUCUAUCUUAUAUUUGUUUUUUUUUUUCAAGUAGGUCGGCAAAGAAGCGUACGGCUCACCUGAUGGUAACCGAUUACUUUAGCCUAUAGACGCCUGCAGCACCAGAACCAUCGCAAGUGCGUUGCCGACCCUAUUUCCAAUCCUCCCCAGGAGCUCUGGUCACCUUAUUUACCAACAGGAACACAAUAGUGCUUGAAAAUCGUAUUAUUUAGCUGUGGUCUUCUGUAACGUCGAAACUAUUCCAGUCGGGCUGCUCCAUAUC